rnacentral:tRNA from 1 species
GUGGGUGUAGCUCAGCUGGUAGAGCACCUGGUUGUGGUCCAGGGAGUCGCGGGUUCAAGUCCCGUCACUCACC